rnacentral:lncRNA from 1 species
AAUGGUUUAUGUUUGACAUGUUUUAAAUUAGUGCAUUAGGAUAUUUACAUUUUUAAUAGGAAUGAGCCUAUAUGACAUAAGAAAACAUUGAAAUAACUUAAAUAUGUUAGGAUUUCUAGUGUGAGUCUAAGCCCCACAUUGGGUAGAAAUGAGAAAGUAGAGUAUCAUAUGAGGUUAAAGAUCCAUUAACUCAUUGUCUUAAGGUUUUGGGUAGAGGCCUGUGUCAAUCCUUUAUGUGGUUGGGCUUCAAUCUUAUUGGUGUUGUAUCUCCUCAGUGAAACUCUUUCUCGAUAGACAGAGAGAAGAGACAAAAGCUCAUUUUAUGUAUCGUUUAUCUCCCUCUAUAAGUUAAACAAACCAAGUGUUUUGAAUAACUCCUAAUUAUCCAAAAA